UACGAAGGGUGCAAACGUUGCUCGGAAUUAUUGGGCGUAAAGCGCACGUAGGCGGCUUGGCAAGUCGGAUGUGAAAUCCCUCGGCUCAACCAAGGAAGUGCAUCCGAAACUGCUGAGCUUGAGUACGAAAGAGGAUCGCGGAAUUCCCGGUGUAGAGGUGAAAUUCGUAGAUAUCGGGAGGAACACCAGUGGCGAAGGCGGCUCACUGGUCCGGUACUGACGCUGAGGUGCGGAAAGCGUGGGGAGCAAACAGGG
rnacentral:rRNA from 1 species